GGACGAACGCUGGCGGCGUGCCUAAUACAUGCAAGUCGAGCGAGUCUGCCUUGAAGAUCGGAGUGCUUGCACUCUGUGAAACAAGAUACAGGCUAGCGGCGGACGGGUGAGUAACACGUGGGUAACCUGCCCAAGAGAUCGGGAUAACACCUGGAAACAGAUGCUAAUACCGGAUAACAACAGAUGAUGCCUAUCAACUGUUUAAAAGAUGGUUCUGCUAUCACUCUUGGAUGGACCUGCGGUGCAUUAGCUAGUUGGUAGGGUAACGGCCUACCAAGGCGAUGAUGCAUAGCCGAGUUGAGAGACUGAUCGGCCACAUUGGGACUGAGACACGGCCCAAACUCCUACGGGAGGCAGCAGUAGGGAAUCUUCCACAAUGGACGCAAGUCUGAUGGAGCAACGCCGCGUGAGUGAAGAAGGGCUUCGGCUCGUAAAGCUCUGUUGUUGGUGAAGAAGGACAGGGGUAGUAACUGACCUUUGUUUGACGGUAAUCAGUUAGAAAGUCACGGCUAACUACGUGCCAGCAGCCGCGGUAAUACGGAAGGUCCAGGCGUUAUCCGGAUUUAUUGGGUUUAAAGGGAGCGUAGGCUGUUUGUUAAGCGUGUUGUGAAAUGUAGGAGCUCAACUUUUAGAUUGCAGCGCGAACUGGCAGACUUGAGUGCGCACAACGUAGGCGGAAUUCAUGGUGUAGCGGUGAAAUGCUUAGAUAUCAUGACGAACUCCGAUUGCGAAGGCAGCUUACGGGAGCGCAACUGACGCUAAAGCUCGAAGGGUGCGGGUAUCGAACAGGAUUAGAUACCCUGGUAGUCCGCACAGUAAACGAUGGAUGCCCGCUGUUAGCACCUAGUGUUAGCGGCUAAGCGAAAGCAUUAAGCAUCC
rnacentral:rRNA from 1 species